ACCAGACAACCUGUCAGGGGUUGCUGCCUGAGACAAAGUUCACACCGGUUCAUGUCCUGGGUUCUGCGAGGACGAGGACUCCUCCGCGCCCUGGAAGUGUGCCUCCCAGCCAUGAGAAGGCCCUCACUAGCCCUUUCAGAGAGCCAAGAAAAUGCAGCCCAGACAAGUGGUUUCCCCAGACCGUCGGAGAGCGACAUGGAGCUGGGGCACGAGAGAAACUGCCUGGACCAUGGAGUUUGAAGGACCUCCCACAGAGAUUCCCUCCAAAAGCUGCCUCCCGCACCUUCCUCAGGAACCUUGGAGAGGGCAAGUUAUUCCAACCCAGAACCUUGGAAGGCCUCGGGAGGAGCCUGUGUGUGAGGUGCUGGCUGCUGAGGAAGAUCUGACCUUACAGAGGUGUCAACCCAGGGAAGGAGUGUGACAGCAGUCUCUAGACCAUGUGAUCAACAGGAGCUUUCCCACAGUCCACACCAAAGAUAAUACUUCCCGAACAAGAGGCUGAGACAGAGGAAAGACUGGUGAAGCAGACAAGCUAACCAACCAGACAGAAAACUGGACGCUCAUCCACAUGGCAAAUGUCGUCUUUGUUGAAAGACUCCUUUAAUAUGAAGCUAUUCUGGGGCAAUUUCAACAAGAGUUCGAGUUACAAAAGCACAUUUUGUGAGCAUAUAGAUUCCAUGUGCCCAAGGGACACGCGUGGUACAUGGACAGUUUCAGAGCUGACUUCUAAGGAAGAUGAGGACACCAAGGCCCAGAGAGGUUAAGAAACCUGCCCAAGGACACACAGCUAGUAAGUGAGAGAAGCCAGAUACAUGGCUUCUUUUCCCAUUGUUCCACACUGCUCCCUCACACUGAUAUACUGUCUGAGUAAAGAUGCACCUUGAGAGUUAGGGCAGUGUCAUUACUGUCACAGCUUUGGAGGGACAAUAGAAAACAUGGCUCUUGCUUUUUUUUUUUUUUUUUUUUCUCUGCCAGGGAAAAGAGGUACAGGAAGGAAAGUAAAUAUCUUUUUCCCCAAGACAUGGUAACAUAGAUAUUUAGUAUCAGCAUAUGUCCCAAGGGCCACAGGACUUGAAAGCUGGGGAGAGCCGAGGGUAAAUUUGGUGUGGGCCUCAGAGGCCUCCCCAUCUGUUGGCGGGUGCGUUCUUUUUUUUUUCUGGCGGGUGCGUUCUUUAUUCAAGGUAACCCAAUAGGACACCCCUGGCCUGAGCAGUUUUCAAAUCCAGGCACUACCAAUUAUGUGUAUUCCAACAGAGACCAACAGAGGGUGCUCUUGUUUUUGUUUGGAUGUGUCAUGCUUUGGGGUUUUUUUGUUUUUUUUUAAUUUUUUUAUUAUUUUUUAUUCUUUGG